rnacentral:lncRNA from 1 species
GAAAUUUCAUUCAUUCACUCAUUCAUUCAUUCAUUCAUUCAACAAUCAUGUGCACUGUGCCUUCAGGUCUCCAGUAAAGGGAUAAAUAUGAGAGAUCUAGACCUUGCCUUCGAGGAGAGCAACGUCUGGCUGGGAGAGUGGUUACCUGACAAUUCCGUGCAUAGGGAAUGCCCUAUGGACAAGGCCAAGUUGUCGUCACCAAUCCAAGGGCAGGAAAGGCGAAGGAUCUGUGUGGCCCCUUUAAAUAUCUGUUCCUAUUUCAUUAUCUCAACAUCCCUGACAAAGAGGGGUAACCUUCCUCAUGGGAUAGAGGAAGCAGCCAACACUCAGGCAGUGAUUUGAAGCCUUCAGUGAAGAAACCUGUGGAGGCUUUGCCAGGCUGGAACUACACUUCCCAGAAUCCCCUUCCCUGUUAGCUUCCAGGUUCCAGUUGGCCACAAGAGAAUGGAGCAGUUGAAGCAGCAGCCACCAGGCUCCGAGGAUCAGUGGAGGUACAGCUGCUAUGGCAGCCUUGCGCAUCAUCGCUCGUCUGUUGGCUCACCUUGCUGAUGUGGCAUUACAGCUGUUCAACUGCUCUGAGGCGAGGAGUGUGUUGGGGAAAGAAACUGACUGGAGUUCAGGGGGCAAAGACCGUCAAGCCUUUGUACCUGGAUCGGCGACCCUGUUGGACACCGGUGGCCAGACGUAGGUUUACAGUAACAUGCAAAUGAUCCAGGAAAAGAGCAUCUCCAGUAUUUCUCUCCUACUAAGACAUUGUCCCAGUAUCUCUUUGACCUGACAACUAGGGCCAUUUGCCAAUCCAGAGGAGCCCCAUCUUCCCCAGGGCAAAGGGAAGAAAAUGGCCCACCUCAGUGCUCAGAAUGCCCAAUGCCAAGCUCUGUGUCUGUGUGUGUGUGCUAAACAUUGGCCUCCAAGGCCGAUGUGAUGGUUAAUCUUAUAUGUCAACUUGACUUGGCUGUGAGAUGCCCAGAUUAAAUAUUAUUAGUGGGUGUUUCCAGACAAGUUUGACAUUUA